GAGGGUAUAGCUCAAGCGGUGAGUACAUGCUUAGCAUGCAAGAGGUCAUGGGUUCAAUCCCCAGUACCUCUU
rnacentral:tRNA from 1 species